rnacentral:rRNA from 1 species
AUUGAACGCUGGCGGCAUGCCUUACACAUGCAAGUCGAACGGUAACGCGGGGCAACCUGGCGACGAGUGGCGAACGGGUGAGUAAUGCAUCGGAACGUGCCCAGUAGUGGGGGAUAGCCCGGCGAAAGCCGGAUUAAUACCGCAUACGACCUACGGGUGAAAGCGGGGGACCGCAAGGCCUCGCGCUAUUGGAGCGGCCGAUGUCAGAUUAGGUUGUUGGUGGGGUAAAGGCCUACCAAGCCGACGAUCUGUAGCUGGUCUGAGAGGACGACCCGCCACACGGGGACUGAGCCACUGCCCAGACUCCUACGGGAGGGAGCAGUGGGGAAUUUUGGACAAUGGGGGCAACCCUGAUCCAGCCAUGCCGCGUGCGGGAAGAAGGCCUUCGGGUUGUAAACCGCUUUUGUCAGGGAAGAAACGCGCUGAGCUAAUACCUCGGCGUAAUGACGGUACCUGAAGAAUAAGCACCGGCUAACUACGUGCCAGCCGCCGCCGUAACAC